UGGGGAAUUUUGGACAAUGGGGGAAACCCUGAUCCAGCCAUCCCGCGUGUGCGAUGAAGGCCUUCGGGUUGUAAAGCACUUUUGGCAGGAAAGAAACGUCAUGGGUUAAUACCCCGUGAAACUGACGGUACCUGCAGAAUAAGCACCGGCUAACUACGUGCCAGCAGCCGCGGUAAUACGUAGGGUGCAAGCGUUAAUCGGAAUUACUGGGCGUAAAGCGUGCGCAGGCGGUUCGGAAAGAAAGAUGUGAAAUCCCAGAGCUCAACUUUGGAACUGCAUAUUUAACUACCGAGCUAGAGUGUGUCAGAGGGAGGUGGAAUUCCGCGUGUAGCAGUGAAAUGCGUAGAUAGGCGGAGGAACGCCGAUGGCGAAGGCAGCCUCCUGGGAUAACACUGACGCUCAUGCAAGAAAGCGUGGGGAGCAAACAGG
rnacentral:rRNA from 1 species